rnacentral:tRNA from 1 species
GUGGGUGUAGCUCAAUGGUAGAGUGCAUGCUUAGCAUGUAUGAGGUCCUGGGUUUAAUCCCCAGUACCUCCA